GGGCGGUUAGCUCAGUGGUAGAGCAAUCGCUUUACACGCGAAAGGUCACAGGUUCGAAUCCUGUACCGCCCA
rnacentral:tRNA from 3 species